CCUUCCGUAUGCGCGUGCGCAUUGGCCUGCACUGAGGACGGUGAAAAACCCGCAGGAGAGCGUCACUCUCCAACUGUAGUUUGUAUCCGCCGCGCCCUCUGCAGUUUGAGGCAGUGGUCUGAGCCGCAGUAGGACGCUACCUCUCACCUCCAGUCCACCCACAACAGACUCACUUCCAGCUCACCUAUGACUCAGUACCCAUCCACCAGCUGCAGUUAGUUGCAGGACUGCGGCCAUGUCCCCACCCUGAGCAGCAUGGGGACCGUCUCAGCUUUGUGAUGAGUGGAAUCCCACACACCUUCAUCAGUGUGUGUGUGUGUGUGCGUGUGCGUGUGCGUGUGCGUGUGCGUGUGCGUGUGUGUGUGUGUGUGUGUGCGUGUGUGUGCGCGUGUGUGCAGACUUUGUGUGUAUGUGAGUUUGGUGUAUGUGUGUGUGGGGGAUAGUGUAGAUAUCUAUGUAUAUGUCCAACCUAUGUCAUAUGUGUCACAUCUGUGUCAUGUAUGUUCACUGGUGUGUAUGAAUGGCACAUGUGCUCAUUCACAGAGUCCAGGAAGACACUUAUUGUCCUCUAUUGAUGAACCUUACUUCAGAGUAGAACAGGGUGUUAGGAGCUCAUAGCAACUUGAAGUUGAUAUUGGUAGAUGGUAUUUUUGCUAAGAGGUUAAGAUGGGAUUUUGUGUCUGGGAACCAGUAAGGACCUAAGGGCCCAGUGCACCCACUGCUGGGCUGCCUUGUCUGCCUCAGGAUGCCUGAGGAUGCUCGCAACCAACUGAAGAAGGACAGAGGACUCAAUAGAUCCCAGACAUCGACCAUAGUCUGACUCUGCUCAGAGGGUUUCUGUGAGAGACAAAGUCUUACCUAAAAAGUAAGGCGCAGAACUUAAAGCCAACUGACAAACACGUAAAGUGAAGUUCCUGACUCAGGUGAGCUUCACUGAUGUUCCACAAACCGCAGUUUCAGGAUGGCGUCUCCAUAGGUAAGAUGCUUGACAGUAGCCCGGUACCCCAGCACCACGGAAACUAGGAAAGAGAUCAGUGUUUGUCAGAGAAUAUCCUGUUGAUGGGUAUGCUCUGCUGGGCUCCCAGAAGAACCUUUGAGGAUGCUGUUUGGGGCUUAAGCCCUUAAAGUGUUGACCUUUGCACUUUGGUGAUCAUGGACUGACUAUUGAAGCUCCAGAGUAUCACAGGUAUGAUAAGGAUUUCCGGAACAGAGGGGACCCCCUCACAAGCUCUGUGAGACAAGAGGAGAUGACUGCAGCUCUGUGGUCUGCAUCAGGGUUGUCUUAUGUAAAACUGCAUGAGGCAGCCCUCCUCCCCUCCUCGUACUCCACAUCAGCCCUUCAGAUUGUCCAGUCCUGCAACCAUGUUGUCCUGAUGACCAUCAUCCUGACUGAGCACUGUGACCGAUGAUCACAACACAGUACACCAUGAAAAUCUGUGUGGCCUAGAGAGGGUCUGCUUCCUGAACAUGUUUCCCGGAAGUCUGGGGUUGCUUUGAAGUUGUAACGACCUCACUGCUGAAGGCAGUGCUUGCUUCCGCCCAGCAACAAAGUUGGUGCCCUGCAAGGGGAUGACGACAAAUUCAGUGUCAGCGGCGGACUACAGUAAGAAGCUCACUGUGGGCUCUGAGUGGGUGCAGUCUCUUCACCGCUUCUGCUAAUGACAGCCCUGCCUAGAAGUGAAGCUGCCCAGAACACAGCCAUUCUCCAUAAAGUUCACAGAAACUCUUAUUUACUAAGUGUACUUUGAAACAGACUCGCAGUUUCUUAACAACGCCAUCUAAUUCUACAAUAAAAGUUGCCUGGUGUGUUGUGCUCCUGA